UACAGAGGUCCCAAGCGUUGUUCGGAUUCACUGGGCGUAAAGGGUGCGUAGGUGGUGAGGUAAGUCGGAUGUGAAAGCUCGGAGCUCAACUCCGAAAUGGCAUUGGAAACUACCUUGCUAGAGGGUUGGAGGGGGGACUGGAAUACUUGGUGUAGCAGUGAAAUGCGUAGAUAUCAAGUGGAACACCAGUGGCGAAGGCGGGUCUCUGGGCAUUAACUGACGCUGAGGAGCGAAAGCAUGGGGAGCGAACAGG
rnacentral:rRNA from 1 species